AUUGAACGCUGGCGGCAGGCCUAACACAUGCAAGUCGAGCGGAGCGGCGGACGGGUGCGUAUUGCCUAGGCAUCUGCCUGGUAGUGGGGGAUAACGUCCGGCAACGGGCGCUCAUACCGCAUACUAUCAGAUGAGCCUCGGUCGGAUGAGCUAGUUGGUGGGGUAAAGGCCUACCAAGGCGACGUUCCGUACCUGGUCUGAGAGGAGGAGCAGUCAAACUGGAACGGAGACACGGUCCAGACUCCUACGGGAGGCAGCAGGGGGGAAUAUUGGACAAUGGGCGAAAGCCUGAUCCAGCCAUGCCGCGGGUGGGAAGAAGGUCUUCGGAUGGUAAAGCACUUUAAGUUGGGAGGCGUUACCAACAGAAUAAGCACCGGCUAACUUCGUGCCAGCAGCCGCGGUAAUUC
rnacentral:rRNA from 1 species